ensembl:snRNA U6 U6 spliceosomal RNA
GUGCUCGCUUUGGCAGCACGCAUACUAACAUUGGAACGAUACAGGGAAGAUUAGCAUGGCCUCUGUGCAAGGAUGACAUGCAAAUUCAUGAGGCAUUCCAUAUUAAA